AAAGAUAGUAUAUCGUAGGGAGAGAGUGCGUACUUCACUCUAAAAACCCCUUCGUCUUUACGUAAACAAUCAGGACCUUCGUGGUUCAUUUCAAACUAACGCAGAGUCAUAGGAGCAGACAUUAGCAGCGUUUUUUCGAGCUGGAAUAUAACUUUAGACCACAAAACAACAAAGGCCUCCACACAGACUCCGCCUCCAGUGGCAUCGUCCUGGCAACAGGCCAUCAGACUGAUGUUGCCAGGCGUGACUCAACAGUAACACUUUGCAUCGGUGGACAUACGUGGAGCAGUGUUUUACACUGUGUAAAAGAGUGAUCCCUCUGGAGCCAAGUGUUAUGUCUGCUGUUGAGUGGAAAAUUGCCGAGGUGGAAUAUUCACCCCCACACGCUCUGAAGCCUGAAUACCUUGCCUGGGUGCUCAAGAGUCACAACUAAGGUCCCAUUUGCAUUUGAUGGUCUCAUUAAACAGCCCAUUAGGGAGCCUUGCAGUGUGGAUGGGAGGCUCUGUGUGGCAAUUUGCAGUUUGAUGGCCACAGGAUGCGUUCCUGCACUGAACUACCAGGUGCCCUUGAGAAGUAUGUGGCAUUUCUCCUCCUAAUGGAUGCUCUGCAGUUAGUUUUAGGAACAUU